UAGGUAAUUUUUUCGGUAUCUUUUACCUUACCUAGGUAAAAAAAUAUUUGGCUACCUUUUACCUUACCUAGGUACGAAUUUUCGUUAACCUUAAGUUUUAGCUAUGUAAGGUAUUUAGGUACUUCCAUACGUGUAUGUAAAUAUUGUGCAUAUUAGAAAUAGCCCUGCUUCACAGCAAUGCAAUCGAAAACUUAGAAAUAUGAUAGUUCCACCACUUACUCACAGAGGUCUUUAUGGUAAGAACGCAAAAAUAUUUUCCGUUGGAAUUUGGUAUAAUGCUAAAUUAGCAAUGCCGUUGCUACCUAAACAGUGCACUUUUAUCGAUGACAUCGGUUCCUAGAAAACGCCACAACAAAUCUUAAAAUGAGCAAAGAAGACGCAGAAAAAAAGGAGCUACCAUUAAUUUUAAAUGGUACUUUCUUUUUACCGGACGGGAAGUGCAAACUGUGUUUGAACAAAACUAUCAAAUUUGAUGAAAAGUCAACCGGCAACUUGCAUAAACAUCUGAAGAGGGUUCACCCGAACAGUUAUUCUUCGUAUGAAGCUUUGAAAGCGAAAAAAUUCAAAAAUAGAAGUGAAAAUUUCCGGUGAGGCAAAAGAUCGAAAAUCCUGCUUCAGUACUCUUAACUCAGUCCAGGUAAAUAAUGAAAUUUGUGACUACAUUGUAACGGAAAUGUUACCACUAUGUCACGUCGAACAAGCAAGCUUCAGAUCCCUUCUGUCAACAAUAUCAGGGCGAUCUAUUAAUAUACCGUGCCGGAAAACAAUCAAGACAAUUUUAGAGAAGCGCAGAGCCGAAUAUGAGCAAAAUUUGACGAAUAUUUUUAAAGAGGUGGCUUUUAUUUGUACGACAGCUGACAUCUGGAGCGCCAACAACAAAAGCUAUUUUGGUGUCACCGGACAUUAUAUUGAUUCUACAUUAGCUAGACGUUCACUUGUGCUCGCAUGUAAACGAGUUCGUUUUUCUCAUACCCAUGAACUAAUUGGAAAAACUUUGGCAGAUGUUCACUCUCAAUACGGCUUAAAAGAU